rnacentral:snRNA from 8 species
UUUCGCCUUUUACUAAAGACUUCCGUGGAGAGGAACACUUACGAGUUCAACGUAUUUUUGGAAGGGCUUUGCUUCUGGCAGAGCC